CGUAGGGUGCGAGCGUUGUCCGGAAUUAUUGGGCGUAAAGAGCUUGUAGGCGGUUUGUCGCGUCUGCCGUGAAAAUCCGGGGCUCAACCCCGGACUUGCGGUGGGUACGGGCAGACUAGAGUGUGGUAGGGGAGACUGGAAUUCCUGGUGUAGCGGUGAAAUAGCGCAGAUAUCAGGAGGAACACCGAUGGCGAAGGCAGGUCUCUGGGCCACUACUGACGCUGAGAAGCGAAAGCGUGGGGGAGCGAACAGGAUU
rnacentral:rRNA from 1 species